rnacentral:rRNA from 1 species
UUACGGCCAUAUAGCGUUGAAACACCGGUUCCUGUACGAUCUCCAAAGUUAAGCAUCGUCGAGCUUGGUCAGUACCUAGAUGGGUGACUGCUUAGGAAUACCAGGUGCUGCAAG